rfam:Picea glauca, whole genome shotgun sequence.
AUGUACUUUCCUACAACAUUAAUGCAUAGGAUCCCAUCAGAACUCCAUAUUUAAGCAUGCUUUGGAUAGAGUAGUACUAGGAUGGGUGAUCACCUAGGAAGCCCUAAUGUUUUACAUG